rnacentral:rRNA from 1 species
AGAGUUUGAUCAUGGCUCAGAGUGAACGCUGGCGGUGCGCCUAAAACAUGCAAGUCGAGUGGGUUCAGACCCACGGCAGACGGCUGCGUACCACAUGGGUACCUACCCCGAACUCAGGAAUAUCCCGCCGAAAGGCGGAGUAAUGCCGGAUAGUCCCGCAAGGGUAAAGCUUUCGCGGUUCGGGAGGGGCCUGCGGCCCAUCAGGUAGUUGGUGUGGUAACGGCGCACCAAGCCGACGACGGGUAGGGGGCCUGAGAGGGUGACCCCCCACACUGGGACUGCAAGACGGCCCAGACUCCUACGGGAGGCAGCAGUAAGGGAUAUUGCGCAAGGGGCGAAAGCCUGACGCAGCAACGCCGCGUGGAGGAAGAAGGCUUUCGGGUCGUAAACUCCUUUUAACGGGGACGAGCAAGGACGGUACCCGUGGAAUCAGUCACGGCUAACUACGUGCCAGCAGCCGCGGUAAUAC